AAUGAACGCUGGCGGCAUGCCUUACACAUGCAAGUCGAACGGCAGCAUGCCAUAGGUUGCCUGCUUGAGGGGGAGUGGCGAGUGGGUGAGUGGAACAUCGCAGAGUGUCUUUUAUCGGGGGGGAAAAUGUCGGGAAAUACCCUAUAACACCUCAUGCUCCAAGCGGGUGAACGCAGGGCCUUGCGGGAUCGGGCCCGAAGGUAGGAGGCGAUGUCGGAUUAGGUAGUUGGUGGGGUAAAGGCCCACCAAGGCGACUAUCCGUAGCUGGUCUGAGAGGAUGAUCAGCCACACUGGGACUGAGACACGGCCCAGACUCCUACGGGAGGCAGCAGUGGGGAAUUUUGGACAAUGGGCGCAAGCCUGAUCCAGCCAUGCCGCGUGCGUGAAGAAGGCCUUCGGGUUGUAAAGCGCUUUUGUACGGAAAGAAAAGCCUCCGUUUAAUACAGGGGGGUUAUGACGGUACCGAAAGAAUAAGCACCGGCUAACUACGUG
rnacentral:rRNA from 1 species